UUUGAUCCUGGCUCAGAUUGAACGCUGGCGGCAGGCCUAACACAUGCAAGUCGAGCGGCAGCACGGGAAGCUUGCUUCCUGGUGGCGAGCGGCGGACGGGUGAGUAAUGCAUAGGAAUCUGCCCGGUAGUGGGGGAUAACCUGGGGAAACCCAGGCUAAUACCGCAUACGCCCUACGGGGGAAAGCAGGGGCUCUUAGGACCUUGCGCUAUCGGAUGAGCCUAUGUCGGAUUAGCUGGUUGGUGAGGUAAUGGCUCACCAAGGCGACGAUCCGUAGCUGGUCUGAGAGGAUGAUCAGCCACAUCGGGACUGAGACACGGCCCGAACUCCUACGGGAGGCAGCAGUGGGGAAUAUUGGACAAUGGGCGCAAGCCUGAUCCAGCCAUGCCGCGUGUGUGAAGAAGGCCCUCGGGUUGUAAAGCACUUUCAGUGGGGAAGAAAGCCUGGUGGUUAAUACCCGUCAGGAAGGACAUCACCCACAGAAGAAGCACCGGCUAACUCCGUGCCAGCAGCCGCGGUAAUACGGAGGGUGCGAGCGUUAAUCGGAAUUACUGGGCGUAAAGCGCGCGUAGGUGGCUUGAUAAGCCGGUUGUGAAAGCCCCGGGCUCAACCUGGGAACGGCAUCCGGAACUGUCAGGCUAGAGUGCAGGAGAGGAAGGUAGAAUUCCCGGUGUAGCGGUGAAAUGCGUAGAGAUCGGGAGGAAUACCAGUGGCGAAGGCGGCCUUCUGGACUGACACUGACACUGAGGUGCGAAAGCGUGGGUAGCAAACAGGAUUAGAUACCCUGGUAGUCCACGCCGUAAACGAUGUCGACUAGCCGUUGGGUCCUUCGCGGACUUUGUGGCGCAGUUAACGCGAUAAGUCGACCGCCUGGGGAGUACG
rnacentral:rRNA from 1 species